ACUUGGUUCUGAUUCUUUUGAGUUUUGACUGCUUUCAUUCUCACUUCAAACACUUCAUGUAUGGCCUUGCGGAAGCAGUGGAAAUUGUAGUCUAUUAGUCCUAAGGAAAAAGAAAACAUAUGUGAAUCCGUUUGUCCAGAAAGAAAAGGAAUUUUUAAUUGAGAAACUAUUUUCCAGAAGCUUUGGAGGAAACUAACAACAAAGAAA